GACGAACGCUGGCGGCGUGCCUAAUACAUGCAAGUCGAGCGCAGGAAACUGACGGAACUCUUCGGAGGGAAGGCAGUGGAAUGAGCGGCGGACGGGUAAGUAACACGUAAGGAACCUGCCUCAAGGAUUGGGAUAACUCCGAGAAAUCGGAGCUAAUACCGGAUAGUUCAACGGACCGCAUGGUCCGCUGAUGAAAGGCGCUCCGGCGUCACCUUGAGAUGGCCUUGCGGUGCAUUAGCUAGUUGGUGGGGUAACGGCCCACCAAGGCGACGAUGCAUAGCCGACCUGAGAGGGUGAUCGGCCACACUGGGACUGAGACACGGCCCAGACUCCUACGGGAGGCAGCAGUAGGGAAUCUUCCACAAUGGACGAAAGUCUGAUGGAGCAACGCCGCGUGAGUGAUGAAGGUUUUCGGAUCGUAAAACUCUGUUGUAAGGGAAGAACACGUACGAGAGGGAAUGCUCGUACCUUGAUGGUACCUUACGAGAAAGCCACGGCUAACUACGUGCCAGCCGCCGCGGUAA
rnacentral:rRNA from 1 species